rnacentral:sRNA from 1 species
CCAACUUUGCCAUGCCUGUCACGGUGCCCGUGUCCAAUCAGAGCUCACUGCAGUUCAGCAAUCCCAGCGGCUCCCUGGUCACCCCUUCCCUGGUGACGUCAUCCCUCACGGACCCGCGGCUCCUGUCCCCCCAGCAGCCAGCACUACAGAGGAACAGUGUGUCUCCUGGCCUGCCCCAGCGGCCAGCUAGUGCGGGGGCCAUGCUGGGGGGUGACCUGAACAGUGCUAACGGAGCCUGCCCCAGCCCUGUUGGGAAUGGCUACGUCAGUGCUCGGGCUUCCCCUGGCCUCCUCCCUGUGGCCAAUGGCAACAGCCUAAACAAGGUCAUCCCUGCCAAGUCUCCACCCCCACCUACCCACAGCACCCAGCUUGGAGCCCCCAGCCGCAAGCCCGACCUGCGAGUCAUCACUUCCCAGGCAGGAAAGGGGUUAAUGCAUCACUUGGUAAGUGGGUGUCUGGGCCAAGGGUGGGGGCUGGGGAAUGGAAGAGUAGGGACAGGGGAAAGAGCAGACCUCUAGCAGGAGAG